rnacentral:rRNA from 1 species
GGGUCAGUAGGUCAGUCGUGCCACUGGUAUGCACUGGCCUUGCUGAUUCCUCCCUCUUGAUGAGCCGUAAUGUCAUUAAUUUGGUGUUGCGGAGAAUCAGGACUGUUACUUUGAAAAAAUUAGAGUGUUUAAAGCAGGCAAGCGCUUGAAUACAUUAGCAUGGAAUAAUGAAAUAGGACGUUCGAUCCUAUUUUGUUGGUUUUUAGGAUUGACGUAAUGA